CGGACGGGUGAGUAACGCGUGAGGAACCUGCCUCAAAGAGGGGGACAACAGUUGGAAACGACUGCUAAUACCGCAUAAGCCCACGGCUCGGCAUCGAGCAGAGGGAAAAGGAGCAAUCCGCUUUGAGAUGGCCUCGCGUCCGAUUAGCUAGUUGGUGAGGUAACGGCCCACCAAGGCGACGAUCGGUAGCCGGACUGAGAGGUUGAACGGCCACAUUGGGACUGAGACACGGCCCAG
rnacentral:rRNA from 1 species